CGAACGCUGGCGGCGUGCCUAAUACAUGCAAGUAGAACGCUGAAGAGAGGAGCUUGCUCUUCUUGGAUGAGUUGCGAACGGGUGAGUAACGCGUAGGUAACCUGCCUUGUAGCGGGGGAUAACUAUUGGAAACGAUAGCUAAUACCGCAUAACAAUGGAUGACACAUGUCAUUUAUUUGAAAGGGGCAAUUGCUCCACUACAAGAUGGACCUGCGUUGUAUUAGCUAGUAGGUGAGGUAAUGGCUCACCUAGGCGACGAUACAUAGCCGACCUGAGAGGGUGAUCGGCCACACUGGGACUGAGACACGGCCCAGACUCCUACGGGAGGCAGCAGUAGGGAAUCUUCGGCAAUGGGGGCAACCCUGACCGAGCAACGCCGCGUGAGUGAAGAAGGUUUUCGGAUCGUAAAGCUCUGUUGUAAGUCAAGAACGGGUGUGAGAGUGGAAAGUUCACACUGUGACGGUAGCUUACCAGAAAGGGACGGCUAACUACGUGCCAGCAGCCGCGGUAAUACGUAGGUCCCGAGCGUUGUCCGGAUUUAUUGGGCGUAAAGCGAGCGCAGGCGGUUUGAUAAGUCUGAAGUUAAAGGCUGUGGCUCAACCAUAGUUCGCUUUGGAAACUGUCAAACUUGAGUGCAGAAGGGGAGAGUGGAAUUCCAUGUGUAGCGGUGAAAUGCGUAGAUAUAUGGAGGAACACCGGUGGCGAAAGCGGCUCUCUGGUCUGUAACUGACGCUGAGGCUCGAAAGCGUGGGGAGCGAACAGGAUUAGAUACCCUGGUAGUCCACGCCGUAAACGAUGAGUGCUAGGUGUUGGAUCCUUUCCGGGAUUCAGUGCCGCAGCUAACGCAUUAAGCACUCCGCCUGGGGAGUACGACCGCAAGGUUGAAACUCAAAGGAAUUGACGGGGGCCCGCACAAGCGGUGGAGCAUGUGGUUUAAUUCGAAGCAACGCGAAGAACCUUACCAGGUCUUGACAUCCCGAUGCUAUUUCUAGAGAUAGAAAGUUACUUCGGUACAUCGGUGACAGGUGGUGCAUGGUUGUCGUCAGCUCGUGUCGUGAGAUGUUGGGUUAAGUCCCGCAACGAGCGCAACCCCUAUUGUUAGUUGCCAUCAUUCAGUUGGGCACUCUAGCGAGACUGCCGGUAAUAAACCGGAGGAAGGUGGGGAUGACGUCAAAUCAUCAUGCCCCUUAUGACCUGGGCUACACACGUGCUACAAUGGUUGGUACAACGAGUUGCGAGUCGGUGACGGCGAGCUAAUCUCUUAAAGCCAAUCUCAGUUCGGAUUGUAGGCUGCAACUCGCCUACAUGAAGUCGGAAUCGCUAGUAAUCGCGGAUCAGCACGCCGCGGUGAAUACGUUCCCGGGCCUUGUACACACCGCCCGUCACACCACGAGAGUUUGUAACACCCGAAGUCGGUGAGGUAACCUUUUGGAGCCAGCCGCCUAAGGUGGGACAGAUG
rnacentral:rRNA from 1 species